rnacentral:rRNA from 1 species
UACGAAGGGGGCUAGCGUUGCUCGGAAUUACUGGGCGUAAAGGGUGCGUAGGCGGGUCUUUAAGUCAGAGGUGAAAUCCUGGAGCUCAACUCCAGAACUGCCUUUGAUACUGAGGAUCUUGAGUUCGGGAGAGGUGAGUGGAACUGCGAGUGUAGAGGUGAAAUUCGUAGAUAUUCGGAGGAACACCAGUGGCGAAGGCGGCUCACUGGCUCGACACUGACGCUGAGGUGCGAAAGCGUGGGGAGCAAACAGG